ensembl:lncRNA
UUCUUUGAAUACAUCAUAAAUCUGCAAAUCAUAGACACAUAGACAUCAUAAAUCAUAGGCACUGUCCACUAUUUACACUGAGCCUCCGCCCCUUUUCAGUUGACCUCUUCUCUUGCUACCAGUCUUUUAACCUGCUUUGGAGUGGGAAAGCCACUCCAGUGACCUGGUCAGCUAAAUAGACUACACAGACGUCAUCCCACUUACCCGAAAGCCUCACAUAGCACCAUCCCUCAUUCCUGGGACCUGUUCUCAUGUCGCCUUUUCUUCCUUCCUUCCUUCCGUCCUCCCUUCCUGCCUCCCUCCCUUCCUUCCUCUGCCUUCUUUCUGCCUCUCUCCUUCCAUCAGACCUUCUUCUUAUUUUGGCUGCGUUGGGUCAUCGUUGUGGUGCACAGGCUCUCUAGAUGUGGCAUGGGGGCUUAGUUGCCCAGCAAUAUAUGGGAUCUUAGUUCCCUGACCAGGUAUCAAACUUGCGUCCCCCACAUUGGGAGGUGGAUUCAGGGAAGUCCCCAUCAGGCCUUCUUUGACUACUUUUGGCUCUGAGUAUAAAGAUACAAUUGUUCAUACAUGAUGCAUUAUAUUUGCAUUUAUAUAUUAUACAUUCUUACAUAUUUUCAACUGUGUGUAUCCAGAGCACCCUAUUAGAUAAUAACAACCUGCAGUAUCUAUAAUGUCUAUUCUUUUGUUACCCUUUGUACAGUAUGUUCAAAAUUAACUCAUGGAAAUAUAUUUUGACUUUCAUUUUUUUUCAAACAUUUGAUCUUCCUUCAAAUCCCUUGGCUUCCAGAAAAACUAAGACAAUAAGAUCUAGAGGAGGCUACUGUUGGGUGCAAGCUGAGCCAGGCUGCAGAGGUCUGGAAAGAAGGCCUGUAUGGAGCAACACAGAAGCAAAGUUUUCACUCUCAAAGCACUGGCCUCCUAGAAAACAUGUAAGUGAAGUAUUUGGAGUUUGCUAUAAGACACUGAUCUGAACCCUUAAGAGUAAACUACUUAUUAUUGAUCAUUAUGUUCACCAAGAUCAUCA